rnacentral:rRNA from 1 species
UACGUAGGGGGGCAAGCGUUGUCCGGAAUCAUUGGGCGUAAAGAGCGUGUAGGCGGCCCGGUAAGUCCGCUGUGAAAGUCCAGGGCUCAACCCUGGGAUGCCGGUGGAUACUGUCGGGCUCGAGUCCGGAAGAGGAGUGUGGAAUUCCUGGUGUAGCGGUGAAAUGCGCAGAUAUCAGGAGGAACACCAAUGGCGAAGGCAGCACUCUGGGACGUGACUGACGCUGAGACGCGAAAGCGUGGGGGAGCAAACAGG